UGGAAACGACAGCGUUGCUGGGUUUCUCGAUUGACUCGAGUACGAGACCUCCUUCCUUACGUCGCUCUCUGCUUCGUAGCGGCGUUCGGACUUCACUCUGAGGCUCGAAGCGGCUUCCGAUUCCAGCGCAUCAAAACCUUGAAGUUCUUGGGGCGGAGGAAGCCGGAGGGUUUCACUCGGACACUGUCGCAACGAUGAUCGAUGAUCAAGACCUGGGUUUCUUGGCCAACUUUCUUGGCAUUUUCAUCUUUGCAUUGGUGAUAGCGUACCAUUAUGUGACGGCUGACCCAAAGUAUGAAGGAAAUUAGGGAUAUGUUUCCUCCUUUUUUUUUUUCCUGGGUUACAGUUAAGAAAAAUGUGGAUCGUCUGUGAUUUUCGCUAGUGGACAGUACAUUGAUGUAGUGAAUGGUUGGAUCUGAGACAAGAACGUUGUGGAUGUAUUAAUAAAGAUUGCUGUUACUUGACAAAUGCAUAC